rnacentral:misc_RNA from 1 species
GAUGAAGAACGUAGCGAAAUGCGAUACUUGGUGUGAAUUGCAGAAUCCCGUGAACCAUCGAGUCUUUGAACGCAAGUUGCGCCCGAAGCCAUUAGGCCGAGGGCACGCCUGCCUGGGCGUCACACGUCGUUGCCCCCCCAUCUACUCCUUCGGGAUUGCGGGGGGCGGAUGAUGGCCUCCCGUGCGCCUCGUCGCGCGGUUGGCAUAAAUACCAAGUCCUCGGCGACGCACGCCACGACAAUCGGUGGUUGCGAAACCUCGGUUGCCCGUCGUGUGCGGUCGUCGCGCAUCGAGGGCUCGAAAAAAUUGCCGGGCUCCGGCUCGGCUUUCAACGCGACCCCAGGUCAGGCGGGGUUACCCGCUGAAUUUAAGCAUAUCAAUAAGCGGAGGA